rfam:Glaciecola nitratireducens FR1064, complete genome.
GAUAAGUGUUAUCGGGAGCAGCAGGCGAGGCCUUUUCACCACACAAACCGUCUAAUGGCAAGGAUGCCAUUAGCGAGCGGCCAAGGAUGGCGAACAGCGCGUUUGUGUGGUGAAAAGGCCUCGCCUGCUGCUCCCGAUAACACUUUUU